rnacentral:misc_RNA from 1 species
UUCCGUAGGUGACCUGCGGAAGGAUCAUUAAUAAAUGGCUCCGAUGUAGGAACACUUAAUAUCCUACCCUUUGUGAAUUGUUGUUUGAAAUAUUUUUUUAAAUUAUUGAAUGUCUUCCCUGUGAAUUAGAGUGUUUCGGACACAAGAUCGCAGGGGAUAGUCAAUAUUUUUAAAAGACCUUUUUUUAAAUUAACUUUGUAUUCAUUGUCUAAAUUAUCUUAUAAUAUAAAACAACUUUUGACAAUGGAUCUCUUGGUUCUCGCAACGAUGAGAACGCAGCAAAAUGCGAUAGUAGUGUGAAUUGCAGAAUACGUGAAUCAUCGAUCUUCGAACGCAUAUUGCACUUUUUAGUUUACUAAAAAGUAUGUCUGUUUGAGUAUCAGUAAAUAUUCUCAUAAAACAUUGUUUUUAUGGUAUGAGUGUUUACAACGAUACAAGCUGUUUCACUUUAAAUUUUUUAAAAUUUGAAUUUUUCUAAUUUAAAAUAAAAUUGGAUAAAUUUCCCGUAAAAGGAAACCUAAACAAUUUAAUUUAAAUUAGAACCUUCAAAAAAAAGGAAAUUUAAUAAUAACUUGAUCUCAAAUCAGAUAAGAGUACCCGCUGAACUUAAGCAUAUCAAUAAGCGGAGGAAAGAAACUAACAAGGAUUCCUAGUAACGGCGAGUGAAGCGGAAGAGCUCAAAUUGAAAUCUUCAAGGUUUUACCUGACGAAUUGUAGUUUAAAGAAGUGUUUUCUGUUGAGUUUUGGUAAAAGUUCUUGGAAUAGGACUCAUAGAGGGUGAGAAUCCCGUAUUGACCAUUAUUUUCAGCUGUGUGAUACACUUUCAAAGAGUCGAUUGUUUGGAAUGCAGUCCAAAAUGGGUGGUAAAUUUCAUCUAAAGCUAAUAUUGGCGAGAGACCGAUAGCGAACAAGUACCGUGAGGGAAAGAUGAAAGAACUUUGAAAAGAGAGUUAAACAGUACGUGAAAUUGUCAAAAGGGAAGCGUUGACACCAGUGUUGUUUCUCGAAAAUCAAUUAAAAAGUUGGAUUUGUGUUGUAUUGACCUUAACAGCUUUCUGCACUCUUUUCCUGCUUUUUUAAUGCACUUUCGUUUAACAAGUCAAAUCAGUUUCUUUGUUGUAAAGGGUCAUUGGAAGGUGGCUUUCUUUUCGGAGAAAGUGUUUAUAGCCUUGAUCUCUGCAAUCGGAGAGACUGAGGUCUGCAGCGUAGAUCCUUCGGGUUAGAUACAUUUGUGCUAAGUUAUAACUUUCAUAGACAACUUGUUGACUAGUUUAGUCAUGUAGCUUACUCGCUGAUGCUAUUUUACCUACGCUUAGGAUGU